rnacentral:misc_RNA from 1 species
UUUCUGCAGUGAUGAGAAUCAUGCUAAUCAUGAAGAGGCGCGUCCGUCUCAACCCCAUGUUGUAGAAAAUGAUAUCUGAGCAGAGA